AGAGUUUGAUCCUGGCUCAGAGUGAACGCUGGCGGCGUGCCUAACACAUGCAAGUCGAACGAUGAAGCCCUGCUUGCAGGGUGGAUUAGUGGCGCACGGGUGAGUAAUGAAUAGAUAAUCUGCCCAUAAGAUGGGGACAACAGUUGGAAACGACUGCUAAUACCCAAUACACCUUUUAGACAUAAGUCUAAUCGGGAAAUGUUUUUUCGCUUAUGGAUGAGUCUAUUUCCCAUCAGCUAGUUGGUAAGGUAAGAGCUUACCAAGGCGAUGACGGGUAGCUGGUCUUAGAGGACGAUCAGCCACACUGGAACUGAGACACGGUCCAGACUCCUACGGGAGGCAGCAGUGGGGAAUAUUGCACAAUGGGGGGAACCCUGAUGCAGCAACGCCGCGUGGAGGAUGACGCAUUUCGGUGUGUAAACUCCUUUUAUUAAGGAAGAAAUUUGACGGUACUUGAUGAAUAAGCACCGGCUAACUCCGUGCCAGCAGCCGCGGUAAUACGGAGGGUGCAAGCGUUACUCGGAAUUACUGGGCGUAAAGGAUGCGCAGGCGGUUUUGAAAGUCAGAUGUGAAAGCCUAUGGCUUAACCAUAGAACUGCAUUUGAAACUUCAAGACUAGAGUGAGGGAGAGGUCAGUGGAAUUAGUGGUGUAGGGGUAAAAUCCGUAGAGAUCACUAGGAAUACUCAUUGCGAAGGCGACUGACUGGAACUUUACUGACGCUGAGGCAUGAAAGCGUGGGGAGCAAACAGGAUUAGAUACCCUGGUAGUCCACGCCCUAAACGAUGUACACUAGUUGUUGCGAUGCAAGUCAUCGCAGUGAUGCAGCUAACGCAUUAAGUGUACCGCCUGGGGAGUACGGUCGCAAGAUUAAAACUCAAAGGAAUAGACGGGGACCCGCACAAGCGGUGGAGCAUGUGGUUUAAUUCGAAGAUACGCGAAGAACCUUACCUGGACUUGACAUCCUAUUAAUGAUUUAGAGAUAGAUUAGUGCUAGUUUACUAGAAAAUAGUGACAGGUGCUGCACGGCUGUCGUCAGCUCGUGUCGUGAGAUGUUGGGUUAAGUCCCGCAACGAGCGCAACCCUCGUUCUUAGUUGCUAACAGUUAGGCUGAGCACUCUAAGAAGACUGCCUUCGUAAGGAGGAGGAAGGUGAGGACGACGUCAAGUCAUCAUGGCCCUUAUGUCCAGGGCUGCACACGUGCUACAAUGGUUAGGACAAUGAGAUGCGAUACCGCGAGGUGGAGCAAAUCUAUAAACCUAAUCUCAGUUCGGAUAGCACUCUGCAACUCGAGUGCUUGAAGCUGGAAUCGCUAGUAAUCGUAGAUCAGCAAUGCUACGGUGAAUACGUUCCCGGGUCUUGUACUCACCGCCCGUCACACCAUGGGAGUUGAUUUCACCCGAAGCCGGAACGCCAAAUUGGCUACCGUCCACGGGGGGCUCAGCGACUGGGGUGAAGUCGUAACAAGGUAACC
rnacentral:rRNA from 1 species